AAGCCUCAGAAAAUAGAACUGAAACAGAUAAACUGGGAAAGCAUACUUUAUUUCAGUGACAAUUAUUUUAAUACUAAUUAAGAGGCAUGGUUGGGUUCAUAUGCAGUUUUUCAUACAAUCUGGAAUUAUUUCCUCCAUAUACACAUAUGUAAAAUAAAACAACUAAACUUGUCUUUAUGUUUCCUCAAAGGCUCUUAGACUAUUUUAUUUUCAUAUAAAACAGUCUUCAAAUAAGGCAAACACAAGUGCAAAUCUGCUGACCAUACGGUUGUUCUCUAGGGUGACUGUCCGGCUUAGGAUGCUGUUCUUCCUAGCUAUAAACAGUCUUAGAUUUUAUAUUUGUCUCAACGCUCACUACCAGUUAUAGGAGUUAAGAGAAUUCGACAUGCAGUGGGAGUGCUGUAUAAAGGGUGAAUGCCCUGUGCAUACACAGGCUGCAUUUAUCAGAUCUCAGUAUGGCUGGAAAAGAAAGUCAGCUGAGACUGUUGGUGUGAGGUCACAGGUUGACGUGUCUUCAAUGGCCUUGAAGAAGCCAUGACUGUAAAGUAGGAUGGGGAUAUGUUCUGAACCUUAGCAGUCCUAGGAAGACAGUGAUCAAGAGAAUGAGCGGUCACUGCAGUGUUUUCCUCAUGGAAUGUAGGGUUUUCCUUAUUCUACCCAUUGAAUUGGCACAAGAAAAUGAAUAUUUUCUUAAAGGUCUCUUCUUCGCAAGGUCAGUCCUGUUGCUAUCAUUUAAAAUGUAGUAAGCAAGUCACCUUGAUUUUUAUAACCUGCCUCUGUGAAAAUGGUAAUAGUAAGUAUAACGUUAUCUCCUGUUUCUGCCUACUUUGGAGCUUGAUAAGAAUCGUGAAGAGUACAACUAAAGGACUUUAAGAAUGCCAGUAUAGCUAUCUACAUGUUCUCUAAGAGACUAAUGCAAGCAGGUACUGUUUUGCCUCACCAAGAAAGGGUAUUGCAGCACAUUAUUUGAAAUUACAUCCAGAGACUCUCCUGGUUUAGCUCAGGUACAGCUACCAGGAGAGCUAAGCAUCAUUAAUUACCUACAUUUGUUUAUUCCUGGUAAGAACAUUUGCAAAUCAUAACGGCACUUCUAGAACUCCUACAGAGAAAGGCAAUCUUCCAAAAAAAAUCCUUUCCUUGGGGUAGAGUAUGGAAACCCUGGAUAAGAGCAAAAUGCAGGACUCAAAGACUGUCUGGGCUAAGUGUUUGGAACACUUCUGCAUUUAACCUUUAACUAUAACACUUGACUAACUGAAAUUAAGGUAGAAUAUUCAACUGUUUACAUUCCAAAGAGAGGGUAUCCUCUGAAAAAUAAGCUCUCAAAGAGAAGUAAGCUUCUCCUCCCAACUUCUGACAGAAGUAGUAGAGUUAAAUAGUCACUUCUUUGUUCUAGUUUUUGGCAAUCUCCAAAAAUCUCCAGCAAACUAAAUCCAGUCUAGUGAAUCCCAGGCCCAAUUAAAAUCCUAAACAGUCUCUGAAAGCUCCUGGACCAAACUAGCUGCCUUAAUCACUAGUUUCCUAAAGAAACAACAGGAUUGUCUAUUUUGUGAGCUAACGAAAUUAACACAGGUUGGCAUUCUCCUAUAAGUGAGUGCUAGUCACACGCCAAAGGUCAGAUGUUUUGUGAUUAAGUUCUUGUAGUUGUGAGCAAAGAAGCAGCCCCCUAAGGUGAUAAAAUAAGGUUUUUCAAGAAUGAUAGAUGUUAGCCUAUCUCAUCCCUUUAGCUAUUUUAAAAACACAAAGUAACUACUUUCUAUUUUAUUCUCUUGUUGAGCUGUAUUCAAGCAGCUAAUUCUUUGCAAUGAGACUCACAUUCUCGCUUGUUUUUCCUAAACUAGGUAGGAAUUGUGGGUUACGAGCACAGACAGUUUUACUCUGUCAUCACCCAAACAAAUGAAAUCAAAAGGGUUUUAUACGUUCCAGUAAUAAGACUAUUUUUAAAUUAAGUUGUUGUGAAGUGUUGAUUGAUAAACAUAAGUGACCAGAAUUACAAGCAUAAUGCGUGUUUUUUCCCCUCCUUAAUAUAUUACCACCCUCUCCAAAAGAAAUGGUCUUGUUUUUCACUUAAGAUCACACAGCUAGAAGCAGAAAUACUAUUGUACUGUGGCUUAUCUUGAACCUGUUUUUAGAGAUUGGAACUAAAUAAACAGAGAGCUCUGCUUCAUUAGGAGAGAAUCCUGUUUUGCGUAAAACACUGGAAGGAGACAUUCCACACCAGCCCACUCCCUCUUAUCUGCUCCUUACCAACAAUGCUAGAGAGAUCAUUUUUGGAAUUGUCAGUAUGCUUCAUCCAAGUCCCUAUCUAUACCAGAUCCCAAAUCCCACCCAAUGCCAGACAGUUUUAAAACCAAACCAAACCUGAAAAUAACGAAACAAAAAAGAAAACAAAAAUAAUCCAAACAAACAAAACACUGGUCUGGGGAGAUUAAGAAGCCUCCUUGUAAGGGGCGACCAACUGUUAGGAUAGUCAGAGACUGGGGUGUUUCAGAAAUCUAUCUUGUUAUAUACACAUUCCAGGGCAGUCAACAGAGCCCUCACACAUUCAAGCUUUGCAGUUUAAUCAAAUUUCACACACAAGUGGAAAAUCGCUCUCUUCUCCACAGGUACACUGGUUCCUCCCCUCCAUCCAACCUUCACUCCAACCUAGUCUGACAGUAGUACAAUUUCUAGCUGGGAUGUGGGAGAGAGAAAAGAAGCAAAGGAAACCUACCCUAGGUUGGAAACAUUCAGGGAGCAAGAUGUACUAAAGAUUCUAAACAAGAAUGGGGUAUUUUGCUAUGUAAAUGCUAUCAACAUCUUGGAGAUUCUGGAUAAACAGAUGCACUGAUCAGAAAAGGCCAUUCCUAUAAAUGCUAAAAAGAAUUUGGUCCAUGUGUGUCAGAGAACACAAAUACACAGUUUCUUUUUCCAACCCAAGUUUCUAGCCUGCUUCAGUUGGAUCCUUUAGGAUAACUUUAAAUGAUGAUGUUUCACUAAUGUGGAAUGGGAUGUGAUUUCUGAUCUUGGGGCUGCAAGUAUUUAACCAAACUAUCAAGCUAUCUACAUCAAUGGUUUAUUUGAAACAGUUCUUCUGAGUAUGAAGGUUCUUUCUUGCAUCAAAUGAGUGAGGACUCUAAGGGGGGGGAGAAAAAAAGGUA
rnacentral:lncRNA from 1 species